UAUCUUGAAGCCUAACUCUUGUCGGAGAGCAGAACCUCGUUUAUUAACUUGUCCAGAUUCAAGAACGAAGAACCACCAGCUUGAGUAGCCUCUUGGGCCAUUCUCUUCCAUUUUCUAGCUUGAUCCCUCAGCUUCAUCCCCUUUCACCCUCCAUUAAUUCUCUCACAAGCUUCUCUACUUCGUCCCUCUUCACAUCCUCACUCUCCAUCUCCAUCCCACAACUCCAUUCGCUGCUCACGAACCUGCGAUGCAGCAUUUGAUCAUUGAAGAAUGGACAACAUAUCAGAGGCACCCCAUUGCUUAUGCUCUCAAUUGUUGAGUUCCAUCCACAGUGAGACAGAAACCCUCCAAUUGCUGGAUGUUUCAGAACUUCCUCUUGAGGACACCAACCCAGAACCAGACCUCUCUCUUUGAUUUCUCUGUGAUUUCUUGUGGCAGAACGGCUUUACCAUUAAUUACCAAAUCACCCCUGAUUACCCAUAUGAAAUUCUGCUUGCUGUUCGCUAGCCCCCAGGCUAGUUCAACGAGUUGUUCAGGAGCAAAUCAAGUGGACCAAUUGUGUAGAGUUUUGGGUACAUUGAGGAAAGAGCAUUCAAGACUUGAGGUUCCAAAGCAUCAAAAGUAGGAAGGACGAUAGCGGAAGCUUCAGAGGCUGCUUCAAUCUGUUGAGGAACAAAGUCCAGAAGGAAAUCAUUUGGAUCUGUGGUCCUGUAUAUCCCAGGAAGGUCCCUUAGUUUUAUAUCCUUCAUCCCAGGAAACUGGAGGAUGAUGAUGAUGAAGCAUCUUUUCCAGAAGGUUGAAGAAUGGAAGGAAGCAGUGCUUGUCUGUGGAUUCACAGAGAGCAGGGAUACUCUGUGUUGCGUCCAUGGUAGUGACAGGUAGACCAUCAGGGAUUGUUUCAAAGCAGAAAUCUGGGAGGCCAUUGAGAGCAUCAGAGCCUCUGGACUUGAGCAAGCGCUUGUGGUUGAACUCAGAGUUCACAAAGGUAAUAUGAAAGCCUCUUGAGUGAAGAAGCUUUGCUAGUUUUAGAAAUGGAUUUAUGUGACCUUGUGUGGGAAAUGGGAUCACAAGAGCAUGGGGUUUCUGGGUUCUGGAAGACACUUCCAUGUCUGUUUUAUGAUGAACCGACUUGGUGUGUCUGUCCUUAUAAUGGCAAAAAGAAAUUGUUUUCUUCAUUUUUUUUAAAAUAAUUGAAAUUGUAUUUUUGCCCCACCUUUUUUUAUGGACUUUCCCUGUGAACAAAGAUAACAGGGCCAAAAAACAAAAAUACAUGUUUACCUGAUAAGCUAGAUACUGCCCCCCCCCCCCCCCAAAAAAAAAAAGGAUAAGGUAGAUAACCAAUAAAGGCGUUGAUUCUAAUAAAAAUGGCUAUGACUUAUGAAGCAUGAGAUCUCAGGUUUGAAUUCAUAUUAAUACAAAAACAUCUUUAAAAAAAAAUUACUUCCAAUCUCAAUUAAAAAAAAAGAACUACUUCCAAUGAAAUUUGAAAAUGCUCAAAUUUGGUUUCAUGAGAUAGUUAUAUUUUUCAAAAAACAGAGUAAGACGAAAAAGCAAACUAGCAAUUAAUUUGAGAGGACGGAGGCAUUCCACCCUAUAAUUAGAGGAUAUGUUAUUUGAUAACAGCUGGAUAGCAUUUUUGUUUAAAUUAAUUAGAUUUCAUUUGGUCAAAUUUCAUUUCGGUUUAUUCUGAAAUGUUCAUUAAAAAGCAAUAGUUAAUAAAGGUAAAAUUUAAGUAGUUAACUUUAUAUAUUUAAUAUAUUUUUAUCUAAUUAAAUUAAUACAAGUAAACUUAAUAUAUUAAUAAUAUUAAUAAUAAGAGUUUGUUAUAAAAUAAAUAAUUUAUAAAAAAAUUUACAUGUCUAUAUAAUAUUAGAAUUAAGUAUCUUAAAUAUAAGUUAAGUAUAUAAUUUUUUUAUUAAAUAAAUACUUUAAUAAAAAAAGUCAUGGUCGUCAGCAUAUAAAUUGGAAUUACAAGAGCAUGUGGUUUCAUGGUUUUGAAGGAUACUUACAUUUCCAUAUCUUUUGACGAUGAAUCGACUUAGCUGUGCCUGUCUUUAUAAUGGCCACACAUAUAUUAUCUUCUUCUCUGUUUUUUUUUUU